CAUUAGGAAGCUAUGCAACAGCGCUAGCCUUUUAAGCUAGAAAGAGAGGUUCAUCCACCUCCCUAAUGA